CUUGCCAAACGCAACUAUGUGGUGUUAGUCUGGUGUCGUUGUGCGGCUUUUAGGUAUUUAAAGUUGUGAAUAACACUUUACAAUAAUAAAUAUGGGACGUUGUUGCUACAUGGGCUGUCAGCACCGGUCCGGCGAGGCAACAAAAGCCUCGGGCGUAACAUUUCACUGUUUCCCACGAGAUCCUACGCUUCGAGAAGCUUGGGUUGAGGCCAUUGGGAGAACUGGAUGGACACCCAGCAAACACAGUGUAGUGUGCUCCAAGCACUUUCAGAACCGUGACAUGGACAGGACAUCGUUAGCACGGAUUCGAUUAAGACCUGGUGCGGUGCCCAUCGCUCAUCCUUCUGUGUCUGCUCCUGAGCUGCAGGUAGCACAGCUUUCAACAGCACCUGAGG